UGGGGGAUUUUGGACAAUGGGCGAAAGCCUGAUCCAGCGACGCCGCGUGGAGGACGAAGCCCUUCGGGGUGUAAACUCCUUUUCUCAGGGAAAAAGGAUGAUGGUACCUGAGGAAUAAGCCCCGGCUAACUACGUGCCAGCAGCCGCGGUAAUACGUAGGGGGCGAGCGUUACCCGGAAUUACUGGGCGUAAAGGGUGCGUAGGCGGCCUUGCAAGUCCGGUGUUAAAAGCCCUGGCUCAACUAGGGAGAUGCGCUGGAAACUGUAAGGCUUGGGUGCAGCAGAGGCAGAUGGAACUGCUGGUGUAGGGGUGAAAUCCGUAGAUAUCAGCAGGAACGCCGGUGGAGAAGUCGGUCUGCUGGGCUGUGACCGACGCUGAGGCACGAAAGCUAGGGGAGCGAACC
rnacentral:rRNA from 1 species